rnacentral:rRNA from 1 species
UACGAAGGGGGCUAGCGUUGCUCGGAAUCACUGGGCGUAAAGGGUGCGUAGGCGGGUUAUUAAGUCAGAGGUGAAAUCCUGGAGCUCAACUCCAGAACUGCCUUCGAUACUGAAGAGCUCGAGUCCGGGAGAGGUGAGUGGAACUGCGAGUGUAGAGGUGAAAUUCGUAGAUAUUCGCAAGAACACCAGUGGCGAAGGCGGCUCACUGGCCCGUUACUGACGCUCAGGCGCGACAGCGUGGGGGAUCAAACAGG